AUUGAACGCUGGCGGCAGGCCUAACACAUGCAAGUCGAACGGUAACUGGAAGAAGCUUGCUUCUUUGCUGACGAGUGGCGGACGGGUGAGUAAUGUCUGGGAAACUGCCUGAUGGAGGGGGAUAACUACUGGAAACGGUAGCUAAUACCGCAUAACGUCGCAAGACCAAAAAGGGGGACCUUCGGGCCUCUUGCCAUCGGAUGUGCCCAGAUGGGAUUAGCUAGUAGGUGGGGUAACGGCUCACCUAGGCGACGAUCCCUAGCUGGUCUGAGAGGAUGACCAGCCACACUGGAACUGAGACACGGUCCAGACUCCUACGGGAGGCAGCAGUGGGGAAUAUUGCACAAUGGGCGCAAGCCUGAUGCAGCCAUGCCGCGUGUAUGAAGAAGGCCUUCGGGUUGUAAAGUACUUUCAGCGGGGAGGAAGGGCGUAAAGUUAAUACCUUUGCUCAUUGACGUUACCCGCAGAAGAAGCACCGGCUAACUCCGUG
rnacentral:rRNA from 1 species